GGGAUAACUCCGGGAAACCGGGGCUAAUACCGAAUAAUCAGUUUGUUCGCAUGAACAAACUCUGAAAGACGGUUCACGCUGUCACUGCAGGAUGGGCCCGCGGCGCAUUAGCUAGUUGGUGGGAUAACGGCCUACCAAGGCGACGAUGCGUAGCCGACCUGAGAGGGUGAUCGGCCACACUGGGACUGAGACACGGCCCAGACUCCUACGGGAGGCAGCAGUAGGGAAUCUUCCACAAUGGACGAAAGUCUGAUGGAGCAAUGCCGCGUGAGUGAAGAAGGUUUUCGGAUCGUAAAACUCUGUUGUGAGGGAAGAACAAGUACGGGAGUAACUGCCCGUACCUUGACGGUACCUCAUUAGAAAGCCACGGCUAACUACGUGCCAGCAGCCGCGGUAAUACGUAGGUGGCAAGCGUUGUCCGGAAUUAUUGGGCGUAAAGCGCGCGCAGGCGGCCUUUUAAGUCUGAUGUGAAAGCCCACGGCUCAACCGUGGAAGGUCAU
rnacentral:rRNA from 1 species